rnacentral:lncRNA from 1 species
CCAGCAAGAUGAGUGUCUGCAGUGUGUGCCCGUCUCACCCAGGGCGACGGACUGCACAGGCCUCUCUUGUUUGCCUUUCGCUCAGAGGGCAGACUUGCUGAUGGAGUGGACAGAGGCUGCGUGACGUAUCCUUAAACAGAACGAGGAAGUGCUCUAUGUACCUGGAAUAAGAAAGAUUUCCUCUCCUAAGCAAGGAGAAUCUGAGUGUCGCUCUGCCCUGCCCUCCACGCGAGGGAAUAUUCCAGUCUCGGGGCACUGAUUGAGCAAUCCUAGGGACCAGUGGGACCAGUGACAAGGUGCACUGUGGUGGCUUCCCAACACUAUUGUUGGAAGCCGCUAACUUCAUCACGCUUUACAGAAACCAUAGAAAAUGAAUACAGUUAUAUUUCUCACAUCCGGCUUUUAAAAGGAUCAAGUAAAAACAAGGUAUAUGUAUAUAAAGUGCCACAGGGGCCUUGCAUAGCGCCUUAUACAAAGUAAGUACACCAUGGCCAGAUAGUUUAAAAAGGGACUCAGGCCACAGACACUGAGCAAAUGGGUUGAAAGGUUAAAGAUGUCUAGAUAACAAUUACAUGUUUAUUGUAUAUUUCAUAUAAGAAAUGAAGAUGAUCACAGGCUAGAAAGAAAUAGAAAGAUUUCAAGAAUCUUUUUAAUUUAUUGAAAAAGAACAAAGACACUUGUAGUAACGUGGAUACACCUAGAGAUUCUCGUAGUAGGUGAAGUAAGUCAGAAAGAGAAAGACAAACACCAUACGAUGUCACUUACAUGUGGACUCUAAAAUGUGGCACAGAUGAACCUGUCCACAGAACAGAUUUCAAGAAUUUUAAGAGGUGGAGAGAAUUUGGUCCUCGACUCCUGGAGAGGAGCGGAGGUGAAGGACACCGAGAGUCAAGGUUGACGUCCAGCUUCCGCGUCUCCGCAGCCUGCCAUCCACUCCUUCCUUUCCUCUCUGGGGACCUGAGGUUCCCUUUGCUAAAGGGGAAAGCUGUUAGGUGGCCGUGGAACAAAGUAACUAGCCCACUGAUAGACCAUCAGCGCCAUGGUUCACAUCUGUUUGUUUGUUUUUGUUUUUAAUUCAGCAUUAAUUUCCUUCCGGUAAACACUUAGGGCCCUUGCAACGUUGUUCUCUGACCUCAGAAUGGCCUAAAGCCUGGCACAAAGACAGUAACCUCGGGACCUUCCAAAGCAAUGCCCUCCAUAGAACUGGUCCCUGGAGGAGAACAGUCAGCCAUCAAAGGAAACAAUUUAUACCUUGAUUCAGGAAACAAAUUAUACCUUCUAGAAACAUUUGGCAACAGUGUGAUGGCUCUGCUUUGCCCUUGAUCCGUGCAUACCUGCGCAUUGCACUGUUUCCAGAAGACUCAUUGUAGUCAUCGCUGAAUAUUUAUUGAGAACCCACUGGGCACAGAGAAUUGUACCAGGCAUGUGAUCCAGAGAGAGUCUGCUUCCAGCCAAGUGCUUUUGUUUCCAUCCUGUUCUGGGAGUAAUAACAUACCUAAGGAAAGUGGAAUUCUACACAUAAUCAAACUUAUUAUCUGAUUUGAUCAUUAUUUUGAUUGCUACUUACAAUUUUUAAUAGAGGUCAUUAUUUUAUUACAUAGUAUCUUUCUAUAAUUAAGUUACUUUAAACGAAGACUUUCAUUCAGCUCAAGUUAGUGAGAAUAAUGUAUUUCUGAUUUUCUCAUCAUCCACUGAAGAAAAAUUGAGCCACAAAAAGAUAUUAUACUAUGGAACAGUUUUUUUUCCCCAAAAAAAUUUAGAUUUUGCUGUAUAUAUAAGUGGGAAGAUUGAUGGCAUUUAGUAGGAGAUAAGUUUCAUUGUUUCAAAAAUUAUCAGAAGUGUGUCACGGAAACUAAGUUCCUGGGGUUCCACGUGGGGCUUGAAUUCUCUGAUCAAAUUACACAUUUCAAGUUUUAACAGUAAAAAAGAUCACAUUGUUACAGUUACACAUAUAUUUUAUAAAAGACAAAGGGCCAAAUUGAUAAGGGAGAAAAGAAAAAUCAGUGCCUUUCAAAACAGAACUUCACAGUUUUGAUUGUUAGUGAGUCGGUUUACAUGUCAGGUAAACUUUGAUCUUAAAAUAUCUUUCACAGGCAUGAUUUUCUCCAGAGACUAUUUUCUGUCUUGAUAUCCGCAUAAGAGAAACAAGAAUAAAUAUCGUAUUCC